CUUGGUCAUUUAGAGGAAGUAAAAGUCGUAACAAGGACCCGUAGGUGAACCUGCGGAAGGAUCAUUAAAGAGUAAGGGUGCUCAGCGCCCGACCUCCAACCCUUUGUUGUUAAAACUACCUUGUUGCUUUGGCGGGACCGCUCGGUUCCGAGCCGCUGGGGAUUCGUCCCAGGCGAGUGCCCGCCAGAAUUAAACCAAACUCUUGUUAUUAAACCGGUCGUCUGAGUUAAAAUUUUGAAUAAAUCAAAACUUUCAACAACGGAUCUCUUGGUUCUCGCAUCGAUGAAGAACGCAGCGAAAUGCGAUAAGUAAUGUGAAUUGUAGAAUUCAGUGAAUCAUCGAAUCUUUGAACGCACAUUGCGCCCCUUGGUAUUCCGAGGGGCAUGCCUGUUCGAGCGUCAUUACACCACUCAAGCUAUGCUUGGUAUUGGGUGCCGUCCUUAGUUGGGCGCGCCUUAAAGACCUCGGCGAGGCCACUCCGGCUUUAGGCGUAGUAGAAUUUAUUCGAACGUCUGUCAAAGGAGAGGAACUCUGCCGAUUGAAACCUUUAUUUUCCUAGGUUGACCUCGGAUCAGGUAGGGAUACCCGCUGAGCUUAAGCAUAUCAAUAAGCGGAGGA
rnacentral:rRNA from 1 species